AAAGUUUGUCUGGUCUGCAGAUGUUCAUUCAGCAGCGUCUCUCACAGUGAGUCCUGACAGAGUGCAACACUUCACCUCUGACUCUGUCUCACUGACCUGUGAGGGAAACUUCACUGAGUGGAGAGUGAGGAAGUUCUCUGAGGACGGCCGACUGUACUCUGACUGUAGGAGAAUGACUGGAUCCACAUGUAACAUCAACACAUCAAAGUCAGAUACUGCAGUGUACUGGUGUGAGUCUGGAUCAGGAGAGUUCAGCAGUGCAGUCAACAUCACUGUACAGAGUGCAGAUAAACCCCCAGAUGUCAUUUACUCUAAUAUUGAACUUGAAAACUUUGGAAAUAAGUGGAAGCAUCAUAAACCAGAGCAGAGUGCUGUUUACACUAAUGUGAAGACAGGAGCUGCAGAGGACAGUCUGAUGUAUGCUGAGGUCAAACAGCCCAAAAAAGAAAAAGCCAAGAAAAACAAAGGAAAAUCAAGUCCUGCAGCUGAUGCAGCAGUUUAUUCUGAAGUCACAUCAGGAAGCUCUCUCAGUAAUUCUGCUGCCAUGCAGGCUGAUUUAUUCUUCACAUUAUUAAAUGUCUUCAGCUCAUAAUAUCUUUACAUGUUGGAAAUCACUUUGUCUUUUUGUGCUUGUCUUACAGGUCAGUGAGGAGAGCUGUAGCAGCAAA